CCUACGGGAGGCUGCAGUGAGGAAUAUUGGUCAAUGGCCGGAAGGCUGAACCAGCCAAGCCGCGUGAAGGACGAAGGUGCCAAGCAUUGUAAACUUCUUUUGUCAAGGGACAAAAUCAGGCUCGAGAGCCUGACCGAGGGUACCUGACUAAGAAGCCCCGGCUAACUACGUGCCAGCAGCCGCGGUAAUACGUAGGGGGCAAGCGUUAUCCGGAAUCACUGGGUGUAAAGGGAGCGUAGACGGCUGUGCAAGCCUGAAGUGAAAGGCGGGGGCCCAACCCCUGGACUGCUUUGGGAACUGUACGGCUGGAGUGCAGGAGAGGUAAGUGGAAUUCCUAGUGUAGCGGUGAAAUGCGUAGAUAUUAGGAGGAACACCAGUGGCGAAGGCGGCUUACUGGACUGUAACUGACGUUGAGGCUCGAAAGCGUGGGGAGCAAACAGGAUUAGAUACCCUUGUAGUC
rnacentral:rRNA from 1 species